rnacentral:rRNA from 1 species
GACGAACGCUGGCGGCGCGCCUAACACAUGCAAGUCGAGCGAAGUGGGACAGCAAUGUAACACUUAGCGGCGGACGGGUGAGUAACACGUAAGCAAUCUGCCUCAUACAGGGGGAUAACAUUGAGAAAUCAGUGCUAAUACCGCAUAAGACCACAUAGUCGCAUGACAAAGGGGUAAAAGGAGGAAUCCGGUAUGAGAUGAGCUUGCGUCCCAUUAGCUAGUUGGUAGGGUAAAGGCCUACCAAGGCAACGAUGGGUAGCCGGACUGAGAGGUUGAACGGCCACACUGGGACUGAGACACGGCCCAGACUCCUACGGGAGGCAGCAGUGGGGAAUAUUGGGCAAUGGGGGGAACCCUGACCCAGCGACGCCGCGUGAGAGAAGAAGGUCUUCGGAUUGUAAAUCUCUGUCUUUGGGGACGAAGGAAGUGACGGUACCCAAAGAGGAAGCCCCGGCUAACUACGUGCCAGCAGCCGCGGUAAAAAUACUUAU